AUUCUCAGCAUCCAAAGCUGCC
rnacentral:misc_RNA from 1 species